rnacentral:rRNA from 1 species
UGUCUGAAUACAUAGGACAUGAGGCGGGAACCAUCUGAACUGAAACAUCUUAGUAGGAUGAGGAAAAGAAAGUAAAUAACGAUUACGAAAGUAGUGGCGAGCGAAAUCGUAAGAGCCCAAACCUUAUAGGUUUUGUCUAUUGUUCAAAUGCUUUGAACUCGGGUUUUAACGAACACCGCACAAGUUCAAAGCUUGGAUCAAUAGACAAUAAGCUGAUAGGCGAAUAUCUAUGAGGGGUUGUGAUAUUACAUAUGACCAAGUCAGAGCAUUUGAUUAGUUCAAAUAAUCUGAUUUGCGAUGAUUGUCUAUCAACAAUUAGUAAGGUAAGAAAAUUGCGUGGUUAGCAGAAUAGUUUGAAUGACUAGCUAAAGAACGUGAAAGCCGUGUACGUUAAAACGACGCUGACCUUAUAUAUGUUUUAUCGAGUAGGGCGGGGCACGAGAAACCCUGUCUGAAUCUGGCUGGACCACCAGCUAAGGCUAAAUAUAAUAUACGAUCGAUAGUGAACUAGUACAGCGAUGGAAAGGUGAAAAGAACCCCGGGAGGGGAGUGAAAUAGAUCCUGAAAUUAUGUGCCUACAAGGAGUCGGAGCAGAUUUAUUCUGUGACGGCGUGCUUUUUGUAGAACGAUCCAGCGAGUUAAUUUCGUGCGCAAGGUUAAGUUAGUUAACGGAGCCACAGUGAAAGCGAGCCUGAAUAGGGCGUUUAGUGUACGGAAUUAGACCCGAAACCGGGUGACCUAACCAUGAGCAGGUUGAAGCUACUGUAACAGGUAGUGAAGGACCGAACCAGGAUACGCAGCAAAGUGUUUGGAUGACUUGUGGUUAGCGGUGAAAUGCCAAUCGAACUCGGAGAUAGCUGGUUCUCCUCGAAAUAGCUUUAGGGCUAGCGUCAUGUUAGUAAUGUAUGGGGGUAGAGCUCUGUAAAGGAUUGGGGCGGGCAACUGUACCCACCCUUAACAAACUACGAAUACCAUAUAUGUAAUCAUGGCAGUUAGAACAUCGGUGCUAAGAUCGGUGCUCAAAAGGGAAACAGCCCAGACCAUCAUCUAAGGUCCCUAAAUAUACAUUAAGUGGGAAACAAGGUGAAAUUUCUUAAACAGCGAGGAUGUUGGCUUAGAAGCAGCCAUUCAUUUAAAGAGUGCGUAACAGCUCACUCGUCAAGAGAUUUUGCGUGGAAAAUGUAACGGGGCUAAAUGUAUUACCGAAGAUAUGGAUUAUUACAUUAGUAAUAGUGGUAGAGGAGCGUUCCUAUCAGCAGUGAAGCAGUAUUGAAAAGUAUUGUGGAGCGGUAGGAAGUGAGAAUGCUGGAAUGAGUAACCAUAAGAUAGGUGAGAAUCCUGUCGGCCGUAAGAGCAAGGUUUCCUGAGCUAUGGUAAUCAUCUCAGGGUUAGUCGGGCCUAAGCCGAGGCGCAGAGCGUAGGCGAUGGACAUCAGGUUAAUAUUCCUGAACCGGUUAAGUUUUGUACACUGUUCACGGGGAAGUAAUCGAAGCGGAUUCAUGGUUUAUCCGUCCAACCGAGCGGGAACGCAAAGGGAGUGAAAGUGAUUCUUCGGAGUCGCGAUUUUGGUGAAAGCCCUGGCUAGAAAAGCAGGUGUACGCGUGGACUUAGCCGCCCGUACCGCAAACCAACACAGGUGCUCGAGUCGAGCAGACUCAGGCUUACGAGUGAACCUUCGCUAAGGAACUCGGCAAUACAGCGACCGUAACUUCGGGAUAAGGUCUGCCCCCACUUCGGUGGAUAUCAGCCGCGUUCACUCAGUGAAUAAUAGGUUAAAGAGUACAUUUUUAAUCACAAAACGAAUUUUCUGAGACACGAGCAAACAAAUUGCUCUUUGAACGCGAACCUCUUGUAUCUAACGAUGUGGGGGCCGCAGCAAAAGAGCCCACGGAACUGUUUAUCAAAAACACAGGUCUCUGCUAACACGAAAGUGGAUGUAUAGGGGCUGACUCCUGCCCGGUGCCGGAAGGUUAAGGGGAGUGCUUCACGGUACAAACUGAAGCCCCGGUGAACGGCGGCGGUAACUAUAACCGUCCUAAGGUAGCGAAAUUCCUUGUCAGGUAAGUUCUGACCCGCACGAAUGGAGUAAUCAUGUGGGCACUGUCUCAGCGAAGGACUCGGUGAAAGUGCAUUGGCGGUAAAGAUGCCGUCUGUCCGUACCAGGACGAAAAGACCCCAUGGAGCUUUACUACAGCUUUACAUUGAAUACGGUUUCAACAUGUGUAGCAUAGGUGGGAGAUAUUGAAGCAGAUACGCCAGUAUUUGUGGAGUCACCAAGUGAAAUACCACCCUUGUUGUGAUUGUGUUCUCACGCUGACCGUUAUCCGGUUAGCGGACCGUGUAUGGUGGGUAGUUUAACUGGGGCGGUUGCCUCCUAAAGAGUAGCGG